CGCCCCCUGCGGCCAGGCAGGCGAGCAGGACGACCUGCCGGGCCGAGCCUCCCAACUUUUCCGGAACAGCUCCCCUCCCGCCCCCCGCAACCCGCCCACGCACACAGCCCGGCGCCCUCCGGCCAACCCCGCGCCCCCCACCCAGAGGAGGGGACUCCCUGCCCGGCCACCUCGACUGUCGCCAGAAUGAGUGUGAUAGACACGUGAGCCUACCUUCUAACCAAAAGCAAGUAAGAGCUGCUAUUGAUCGCAAACAAUGUGCUGGGCACUGUGCUGAUUCACUUGCGUUAGCUCCGUGACUCCUCGUGACAAUUCUAUGAGGGAUUCUGAUUUUGGUGAGAGUGGUGUGAGCCUGAGGGACAUAAUUUCUGGAAGACUCUGUCAAGUUAUCCUGGGAACUGAAGUCCGUGCCUGCCCAUCACACUAUCAUCAUCCACAAACAUCUCGUGUUCCCGUGCCAAGCCCUAGUCUCAGCUGAAAAGUAUUCUGCAUCUGGCACGGAUGAAGCCUGAUGCCUGCACAGAACGUGUGCUCAGCAGAGGGACCUGCCUCUCUCCUUCUGCUCCUGGAAGACAGUACUUGAAAUAAUAUCACCCCUGCUUGUCCGGCAGUCCCCCUGCUUCGUGUGGAGCUCCCCCUGUGUGUCAGACGAGGCGCUCGUGUGAGAGAUCACCUCGAGCCUUGGGAGGAAGUGAUUCACCACAAUACUGUAACCGAAAGCGUUCUGGCACCAGGGAAGAAGCAGGUCAUUAACCGCGUUACCUGCCCGAAGCAGCUACCGGAGGCACCAGAGCCUUCUCAGCCCAGCCUGGCCUUCUGAAUUUCCCCGCGCCCAGCUUUGCCUGCUCCCAUCAGGUUUUGGUCUUGUUCUGUGUUCUCUGUCUGAAAGCAGUUGAUACUGAGAACUCAUCCUCCAUUUUUAAUCUUUAAAAGAAACCUGACAAAUUUGUGAUUUUUAAUCAUCCACAUUUGGUCUGUCUACUUCCCAAUGGUCCUUACCAGGCUACUAUCUCAUUUUGCACUUAAAUAUUUUGCCCUUAAAUGUGUUGGGUAAAUGGAUAAAUAAACCCAAGGAUGUUUUGAGUAAACCCAAAGUUGUAAAAAUAAAAUGUAUCUUUUAAAAAAUAAAAA